rnacentral:rRNA from 1 species
AUGAACGGCAGGGUGACCCUGGAUCAGGGUUGGGCCACCUAUGCAGCCGUUCAUCAGAUCAAGAUCGGCUACAUGGUGACGUUCAAGCUCCUCACUCCCGACACCCUCAAGGUCAUCAUCUUCGACGAGGAUGGCAUUGAGGUCGUCAGCAAGUGCGGGAAGCACGACGAAGCCUUCGCCGCCAAGGAGUAG